rnacentral:rRNA from 1 species
AAUGGCCUAACGGCUGAACCAGCAACUUGGAAGAACGUAUAGCAAUAGCUAGUAUCUUCAAUUGAUAUAUCGACCAAGUCGAAUAAAGUUCUACGCAGUACUAUGAUAAUGACAUUAUCUGCUUAAAGUCUUGGCCAAAUUACGUGCCAGCUGUCGCGGUAAGACGUAGAAGGCUAGUGUUAUUCAUUAUUAAUGGGUUUAAAGUGUACAUAGGCGGUAAUUUAAGCUUUGGAGAACUGUUUUACUAGAGUUUUUUUUGAGGGGGCAAUAAGGUACUAAUGGUGUAGAGAUAAAAUUCUGUAAUACCAUUUUUCGCGAGAAAAUAAUGGCACAAGCAGAGGCGAAGGCGCUUCAUAUAACAAACAGGAUUAGGUACCCUGGUAGUCGAAGCAGAUAAUUCUGAAUGCCACAGAGUAUUUUAUUCUGUAGAUGAAAAUUAAAGCAUUCCACCUCAAGAGUAAUUUGGCAACAUUGGAACUGAAAUCAUUAGACCGUUUCUGAAAACAGUAGUGAAGUAUGUUGUUUAAUUUGAUAAUCCACAAAGAACCUUACCAUGAAUAUUUACAAGUGUUGCACGGCUGUCUUCAGUUAAUGUCGUGAGAUAAUGGUUGGUUCCAUUUAAUUAACGUAAACCCUCACUUUAUUUUUAUAUAAAGUUGUUCUCCAUUAUAUUGGAUAAGAUAACAGGGAUUAAGACAAGUCCACAUGACCUUUAUGUUGUGAGCCUUUACAAAAGGGUGUGAAAUCGUAAGAUUUAGCUAAUCCCCCAAAACUGGCUAUACAUUCAAU